rnacentral:misc_RNA from 1 species
CGCACAUUGCGCCCUUUGGUAUUCCGAAGGGCAUACCUGUUCGAGCGUCAUUUAUACCUAUUAAGCUUUGCUUAGUUUUGGCUGCUUGUUUUUAUUAACUCGGCUUAAAAGUAUCGGCGUUACUCUAUUACUAUAUCAAGCACAGUAGAUUGUAGUUUGGUAAUGUAGCAAGGUACUGCCGUUAAUACCUCUUAAAUUUGACCUCGGAUCAGGUAGGAAUACCCGCUGAACUUAA